AGUGAACGCUGGCGGUAGGCCUAACACAUGCAAGUCGAACGGCAGCACAGUAAGAGCUUGCUCUUACGGGUGGCGAGUGGCGGACGGGUGAGGAAUACAUCGGAAUCUACUUUUUCGUGGGGGAUAACGUAGGGAAACUUACGCUAAUACCGCAUACUACCUACGGGUGAAAGCAGGGGAUCUUCGGACCUUGCGCGAUUGAAUGAGCCGAUGUCGGAUUAGCUAGUUGGCGAGGUAAAGGCCCACCAAGGCAACGAUCCGUAGCUGGUCUGAGAGGAUGAUCAGCCACACUGGAACUGAGACACGGUCCAGACUCCUACGGGAGGCAGCAGUGGGGAAUAUUGGACAAUGGGCGCAAGCCUGAUCCAGCCAUACCGCGUGGGUGAAGAAGGCCUUCGGGUUGUAAAGCCCUUUUGUUGGGAAAGAAAAGCAGCAGGUUAAUACCCCGCUGUUCUGACGGUACCCAAAGAAUAAGCACCGGCUAACUUCGUG
rnacentral:rRNA from 1 species